rnacentral:rRNA from 1 species
GUCCUACGGGGGGCAGCAGUAGGGAAUCUUCCACAAUGGACGAAAGUCUGAUGGAGCAACGCCGCGUGAGUGAAGAAGUAUUUCGGUAUGUAAAGCUCUAUCAGCAGGGAAGAUAAUGACGGUACCUGAGUAAGAAGCCCCGGCUAACUACGUGCCAGCAGCCGCGGUAAUACGUAGGGGGCAAGCGUUAUCCGGAUUUACUGGGUGUAAAGGGAGCGUAGACGGCAUGGCAAGUCUGAAGUGAAAGCCCGGGGCUCAACCGCGGGACUGCUUUGGAAACUGUUAAGCUGGAGUGCAGGAGAGGG